rnacentral:tRNA from 1 species
GCCAAAGUGGCGGAAUUGGUAGACGCGCUGGACUCAAAAUCCAGUGAUAGCAAUAUCGUGCGGGUUCGAUUCCCGCCUUUGGUA